GUGGAGAAGGCGCUCGGGGUGCAGCUGCCACCGGAAGGAAGCUUCCGAGAUUAAGCCCCUUCCAGCCACGUCAAUCAUUUUUGCCGUUAGCUGCGCGACUCGAGGCGGCGAUUCUGCCUCCGAGGUCACCACUUGCCUGGGUAGCCUUUGGCCUCCAGCCUCCGUACGUCGAUCCCUCCAGAGAGGGCCUGGACGGGGCUAAAUUGGGAGAGGUGAGUGAUCUUAACCCUUACUUCCAAACCGAACCAUAUACAAAACAAAUAAACAGAAACGCGCCCCGCAAGUGUA